rnacentral:rRNA from 1 species
AAGACUUCGGUCAAGUUGAACGGAUGACUUAGUGGCGGACGGGUGAGUAACGCGUGAGUAACCUGCCCUGGAGUGGGGGACAACAGUUGGAAACGACUGCUAAUACCGCAUAAGCGCACAGUACCGCAUGGUACAGUGUGAAAAACUCUGGUGGUGUGAGAUGGACCCGCGUCUGAUUAGCUGGUUGGUGAGGUAACGGCCCACCAAGGCGACGAUCAGUAGCCGGCCUGAGAGGGUGAACGGCCACAUUGGGACUGAGACACGGCCCAAACUCC